GCAUUUAAUUGAAACGGUCCCAUUCCUCACCACCACACCCACCCAUGCCAUCCCCCAUUCCCCUGCCCCCUUCCUCGGUAGGUCCACCACCCCUAGGGGCCUGCGUGCCUCCACGCCCGCUUUGCCGGAAGCCCCUGCCCCCUACCGUCGUCCCCUUCGCCGGCCCUCACCGAGACGACACCGCUCCGGUGACCGCAAGCGCUGCUCCCUCGUCUGCUGCAGCUGGCUCGCCGUCGAGGCCUCCUCCCGCCUCGCACUAGAAGCCCGGGGCUGCUGCUUUGACGACAAAGCCUCCACCUCUCCCCGCCUCCUUCCUCUGCGCCGGCCGAGCUUGCACGCGGGGAUGCGGCGGUGCAGCGCAGCCCCUCCUCCCAUCCUCCACGCUGCCGCAUCUUCCUCCUCGAUUUUGGCACCGUCCCCCCGGUGAGAACUUUGAGGAUAUGAUUGCUGGUUUAACUUACCCUUGUACUCUACUUCCGGGUUGGUCUGUGGAGUGGGAGGGAUCCUCAGCUGGUGCUGACGCUUCUCCUUCUGAGUGAUGUCUCGUAUGGGAUUUAUCGAGAUGUCAUGUUAUCGCUAGUUAUCGUGUUUUUACCUUCCGCUGAAUAAAUGAACUCUGAUGGACUGUUGUAGAUAAACUUCUGUAGUACUACUGUCUUUACUUUCAGAACUGGUCUGUAAUAAUUUUAAAUUUCCGCUGCAAGACUCUGUGAUGUAUGAAA